UGAAGAUGGAAAUCAAUGACUUAGAAACCAAUUAAACAAUCCAAAUAGCAACUGAUAAAUGGAUUAACCGUCUAUAAUGAAAUUCCUCUAGCUUUUGUCUUCCGCUUCCCCAGGUAAGUUUUCUAUUCCUGGAGGCAAAGCAGAGGCAUGGAGGAAGUGGAGGCCAGAGGGAAUCACAUUAAAGUGGGUGAAUCCGUUUAUCACUUACUGUCUGGAUGGUAUUUCUGCUCACAUCUCUGCUUCCUUUUUCAGAUUUGUGCCAUAUGGGACCCUGAUUAACGUUAGCCAGUGAAUAAUGAAAGGCAGCAGCAGACACUGGGUCUGCCCAGAAAGGACCGGAUGGAACAGUCAUUCCCAAUAACUACUGUGACUUCUGCUUGGGGGGCUCCAACAUGAACAAGAAGAGUGGGCGGCCUGAAGAGCUGGUGUCCUGCGCAGACUGUGGACGCUCUGCUCAUUUGGGAGGAGAAGGCAGGAAGGA
rnacentral:sRNA from 1 species